UUGACAUUUCUUCAGAUGAUUACUGCAUCAUGCUAGAGUGUAACUUAACAUAGUAGAAAGGCACUGUGUCCUUUAAACCCAAGAUUUGAGUAAUUAAAACACCGCUAAAUGAGAUAAUAUCAUUACAAAAAGUGUAAAUUCACGGGAUUUAUAAAGUAAUACGUGAAAACUGCCUUCUUCAGGUAAUCAAACACAAAGAUGCAUCUAUAAAUCAUUUGUCAAAGCAGCCAGCAUCAUGGUCUGCCAUGAUAGCACAGUCAGCAAUCUCCAACAUCUUCCAACUGAACAACAUCCACCCACAAGCAAAAAAAGAAAAAGAAAAGAACGAAAAUGUUGCUGGACUUUCUAAUGAAUAAACCUUCAAAUUGGAUGAACAACAGAUGAAUUUAUUUUUUAAUGCAACAUAAGAAAGAAAGAUUAGGAAUACAGGAUCAAUUUAUGAACAGCAGUGAAGAAAAAUAGACACAAUAAACUGCCCAGGUGCAAACUGAUUAAGUCCCAAGAAUGAAAUUCGGAGUCACAAUCUAUGCUCAAAAUCCCCACGUGAUAAUAAACGUAAAAUUUUCUUCACCAAUCAGAGUAAUCAAGGGACUUCACAUAUGCAGCACGGCCAGUGAUUUAGUAAUACAUGAAGAAGCAUCCAAUUCAUGAGUCAUGUGAUUCCUUGAAAUAUGACUCCAUUUCGUCCCUGUCUCUGACACAUCACAUACAGUCAGGAAGUCCAACACUUGACCAAAUAUUUUGAACAUUUCCACCCCAAAUAUAAGGUUUUUGUCCGCAACAAAUGCAGCAUUCCAGUCCAUUGGGGCAUCAGGAUGUACCGACACUUCAGUCCAGGUAAGAUACAUAAGAUCUAGCUCCCACAAUUUCCUAACAGCCUUGUUCCUCUGGCCUAUUUGACCAUCUCCUUCACACCAAGAGACUGAAAGCAUGAAUAAUCGACCAUUACAAGAUACAAGUUUGGGGUAAUACUCAUGAACACGGGGAGGGAAUGGGAAGGUUUGGAUUCCAAUCCAGAAGCCCCUUUCUAUGUCAUAUCCCAUGAGCUUGUCUGUCUCAGAAUAAACAUAAAAAAUCCCAUUACAUAUAACCCCAGAACACACCGCCCCAAAAUCUAUGGGCAGCUUCUGGAUUUCUGUCCAUUUAUUUGAUAAGGGAUCAUAGAUUUCUCCAGAAUCCAGAGGCUCAUCCCAAGAUCCGAGACCUCCAAUAGCAAUCAAUACAAAACUUUUACAACCCUUAGCAUUUCGCUGAUCAUUUUUUUGUCUAAUGAACUUGUGUGACUUUCUGCUAUGUAACAAUGAUGUUUCAUCUUCAUCAAAAGCAUUUCUGUACUGACGUCUUAGUGAAAGCCGAUGAGGAUCCUCAUAAACAUCUGAAACACCACCAAUUCGAGACCUGGGAAAAUGCCUUUCUUGCCGAUGCUGAUGACUCUGUAAAAUUGAAAAAUUGGAGCUAACCUCAGAAAUUCCCAAAAUAGGCAUUGAUCUUGCAUACCUCAUGGAAGCAACUUUGCGCCAAGAUUUUGUUAAAGGGCUGAAGACCAGCACCCCUUUGUGAGUUCUGAAUGAGCUCCUAUCCACUCUCCCAAAGUGGGUCAAGCUAGAACAACCUCCAACAAUAUAAACAUCAUCCUGAAUACUAGCAACAGAGAACAUGAACCUUCCUUUUAGAAUAUCAGAAUCAAUCCUAUGCCAUUGGUCUUGUGAUACAUCCAAUGCAUGUAUCUCCGCAGAACAAUAGCCAUUUUUAACAGCCCCAAAGAGAAAUAACCAUGGAUUCUGAUGCAAACCAUCUCGUCUCAUUUGCAAGAACCGAGGUGCGGUGGUCAAGUAUCUCCACUUCUUGCAUACAAGGCGGGCAUUCAUGAGACUGGUCAAUGGGAGUCUUACCAAACACAUUUCCAAUAUGUCAUCUGGAAGAAAGAUGUGCAAGCUGCUAUUUUCUAUUGAAUCUUCAAGUUCUAAAUCUUUUCUGAUAUUUUUCUUCCAAAACUUUUCCCUAACCCCGUAUGAGAAGCAAUCAACUCCAGGUUCAUCAGUGCCACAUAUUGGUUUGUACCCCUUUCCUCCUUCACUGGCACUUGAUGACCUUCUCCUACUACUUGGAUCCCCAUAUUCCUCACCAGCGUCAGCACCUACUUUACAACCACCACCCCUGCCAUAUAAAGGAAGACAUUUUGCAGAAAUCCCCCUCGCAUCAUCCUCCGCAUCUCCUUCAAAUCUGUUGUUUGUUUUCUUCAACUUCUGACUAACACUUCUCACAAGCCGCCGAGACACUCUCAAAGCUUCAAAAUCCCGAUUAAGAUAUGCCUCUCCAGUUAGUCUCUCAGAAAACCUUCCAUUCAUUGACAUUUUCCAACCAACAGCUUAUAACCCCUAACCAUCUCGCAAACACCGUUAGUCAUCAUUCAAAGUCAUCAUUCCCCCAGUUCAACUUCUAUUGCUCUACAAAACAAGCAACGAAGAAAGAUUAUGCACAAACAUCUUCGCAGAAACACAAAUGUAAGAAAAUCAAUAAAUCUUUGGGAAAUGAUGAUAUAACAAUUUGGUUCCCAAAAUGAAGAAUCCUGGCAAAGUUGCCAGAUCCACAGCAUUAAAUUUUGGAUAAAGGAAGCUCCUUCAAGUCAGAUCCUUUGCCAAAAAAAAGAACAGACGGUAAAUUAGGAAAAUUAUCAGUUUUUAAAUUAAAAUCGAAACCUACAGGAUCCAUUGAGCUGGAAAACAGUUAAUCAAGUAAUUAAGUUAUAUUACAGCUUUUUCCUAAAGAAGAAAAAGUUAUUUUCUUAAACUAGUGGGUACAAAAAUCUACAGUUCUUUUAUACAAAUUCGCAACCUGAAAUCGAUUUAUUGUUCUACAAAGACCAAGAGAGAAACUUUGAAUCAUAUUUUAAGUAAGAACUAAUUUACCAGUAGAGAAACAAUAAGCAACAUUGUCGGUCAAAUGUUAAAAAAAGAAAAAACGAAGAACACCCGUGAUCCAUCUGAAGAAAACAAAAGAAAAUCUUGAAGCAACCAUUUUUAGCAUUAAAAAAAAAAAACAUAAAAUCCGCUGAUUACUUCCCUUUUUUUCCUCUGAUUUCCCAGUUAUCAAACAUCCAUACAAAGCCUAGAGAAGAGAUAUAGAGAUAAAAAAAUGUGACUUACAUUUUGACAAAAUGUGGUGGGAGAAAUCCGAAAUCCAAGAAUCCAAAAUGUGAAACCAAAUCUGAACCCUCAAGUAAAGAAAAUCCCAAUCCGCGAUUAGAUUGGAGCGAGUGCAGAUGAUGUUAAGAAGCAAAAAUUAGUGCUUGAUUUGGUAAGGUUGGAAUUAGUAAAAGGAGACACAGUACUCAUAUUGAAAAGCGACCCAUCAGCUCUUCUUUUUCUUUCCCAUUUGUCAUUCUCUCUCUUUUUUU
rnacentral:misc_RNA from 1 species